GUCCUUGGAUCCGUUGGUGGUGGUCAUGAUGAGGAAGAUUGAGGAUUUUGUUUGAGUAGUAGUAGAUUUUUAUUUUGAGUUUUUUUUUAUUAUUAUUGUUUUUGUUUAAUUAUGAUUAUACUUUUGGUGGCUCUAGUUUCACCAUAAACUUUUGUUUGUUAAUUGCAUGAAUCUUUUGUGAGAUUUAAUUGUGUGUUACAAUGAAUUUGGUAUACCCCAUUUGUUUGUUUAAUUUUUCUUAUUC
rnacentral:lncRNA from 1 species